GGACUACCCGGGUAUCUAAUCCCGUUCGCUCCCCUGGCCUUCGCGCCUCAGCGUCAGUUCCUGUCCAGGCAGCCGCCUUCGCCGCCGGUGUUCCUCCCAAUAUCUACGCAUUUCACCGCUACACUGGGAAUUCCACUGCCCCCUCCAGAACUCAAGCAACACAGUAUUAGAUGCAGUUCCCAGGUUAAGCCCGGGGAUUUCACAGCUAACUUGCAUCGCCGCCUACGCGCCCUUUACGCCCAAUAAUUCCGAACAACGCUUGCCACCCCCGUAUUACCGCGGCUGCUGGCAC
rnacentral:rRNA from 1 species